rnacentral:rRNA from 1 species
UGUCCGGAAAGAAAUCCUUUUCGAUAAUACCGAAGGGGGAUGACGGUACCGGAAGAAUAAGCACCGGCUAACUACGUGCCAGCAGCCGCGGUAAUACGUAGGGUGCGAGCGUUAAUCGGAAUUACUGGGCGUAAAGCGUGCGCAGGCGGUGAUGUAAGACCGAUGUGAAAUCCCCGGGCUUAACCUGGGAACUGCAUUGGUGACUGCAUCGCUGGAGUAUGGCAGAGGGGGGUAGAAUUCCACGUGUAGCAGUGAAAUGCGUAGAGAUGUGGAGGAAUACCGAUGGCGAAGGCAGCCCCCUGGGCCAAUACUGACGCUCAUGCACGAAAGCGUGGGGAGCAAACAGGAUUAGAUACCCUGGUAGUCCACGCCCUAAACGAUGUCAACUGGUUGUCGGGCCUUCAUUGGCUUGGUAACGUAGCUAACGCGUGAAGUUGACCGCCUGGGGAGUACGGUCGCAAGAUUAAAACUCAAAGGAAUUGACGGGGACCCGCACAAGCGGUGGAUGAUGUGGAUUAAUUCGAUGCAACGCGAAAAACCUUACCUACCCUUGACAUGUACGGAAGUCCGCUGAGAGGUGGAUGUGCCCGAAAGGGAGCCGUAACACAGGUGCUGCAUGGCU